rnacentral:rRNA from 1 species
UACGUAGGGGGGCAAGCGUUGUCCGGAAUCAUUGGGCGUAAAGAGCGUGUAGGCGGUUCGGUAAGUCUGCCGUGAAAACCUGAGGCUCAACCUCGGGCGUGCGGUGGAUACUGCCGGGCUAGAGGACGGUAGAGGCGAGUGGAAUUCCCGGUGUAGCGGUGAAAUGCGCAGAUAUCGGGAGGAACACCAGUAGCGAAGGCGGCUCGCUGGGACGUUACUGACGCUGAGACGCGAAAGCGUGGGGAGCAAACAGG